rnacentral:tRNA from 1 species
GCCGGCAUAGCUCAGUUGGCAGAGCGGCUGAUUCGUAAUCAGCAGGUCAUCAGUUCAAGUCUGAUUGCCGGCUCCA